CCUCAGGAUUUGAAAGAUGUGUUCUCUCCGACAUUACAGCCAGAAGCAAACAGAGUUGUUUCUCUGAAAACAGAAAAGCAGUGUGUGUGUGCUAACCGAUCGCAUACUGUAGAUUUAUUUCAUAGCUUUUAAAGUGAGGUGAUGCUGCCGCCCACAGCCUUGAGGCUGUUGUUUCUGUUUCUUUUUACUCAGUCUGAGUUUACAGGCUUCAUCAAAUGAAAAACAGAACCAGGACCACCAUGCAGCGCUGUGUCUGUGGGAGGCUUUAAAAGAAGUCCAGGUGUCACAAAGAAGACAGAGCAACAUUGGUUUAGGAAAAGUGGGUAAGUGCACAAAAUAGAUUCAUCACUUCGUCUGUCAAAAUGUUUGGCCUUGAUUCUGGGGUCUUUUGACUAGAUCAUCUUUGCCUCAUCAGCCAGGCCAUUUUCUACAGGACGACGGAUCCCGAAGCCCCUGGCAGCCCAACGUUGCCAUCAUCUCCGUAACUGGCAGCUAUAUUGUCCACAGUAGCAGCUGCGACUCGCCUCGGGGACGAAGCUCUUGUCUCACCGCACAUGGUAACGUCUACAAACCCUGCAUGACAAGUGCUUUCUCCGUGCUACGAUGGCGAGAACAGAGGUGCCAGAUCAGUUUCCAUGACUCCCCUGCAGAAUGCCAGCGAUGAGCUGCAGUGAACAUGACAGUGUGGUGGGUUUGGUCUGUUAUUAUUGUGACUUCCUGUGGCUAACCACCAUGCUGCGGGUGUGCACACACACACACACACACACACACAAACCAUCAGACACCUGAGAUGUUCUCGGAGUCCUGACGACUGAUAUAACAAAACCUGACAAAGCUUUUUCCUUUGAAAGUGUCCAUGGGAGAAUGUUUAAGCAGGCAGAACGCUAACUUAUAUUCAC
ensembl:lncRNA